rnacentral:misc_RNA from 1 species
UCUCCGUAGGUGAACCUGCGGAGGGAUCACUACAGGCUUGCAAAAGCUCUGAAACCACUGUUUAUCUACCUGAAUCUGCUUCGGCGGGCGGCCCCAGGGCGGGGCCGUAGGCGCAAGGCGCCCGCCGAAGACCCCUAAACUCUUUCCUCUUGAGAAUCUCUGAGUAUCAUAUUAAACAAAAAACAGCUUUCAACAACGGAACUCUUUGCUCGGGCAGCGAUGAAGAAAGCAACACAUAGUACGACCAAACGUAAUAACGUCAGCCAGCCGUAGACACCC